UACAGAGGGGGCAAGCGUUAUUCGGAAUUAUUGGGCGUAAAGGGCGCGUAGGCGGCCAUUCAAGUGACGGGUGAAAGCCCUCGGCUUAACCGAGGAACUGCCUGUCAGACUGGAUGGCUUGAGACCGGGAGAGGUGAGUGGAAUUCCCAGUGUAGCGGUGAAAUGCGUAGAUAUCUGGAGGAACACCGGUGGCGAAGGCGGCGUUCUGGACUGCAACUGACACUGAGGAACGAAAGCCAGGGGAGCAAACGGG
rnacentral:rRNA from 1 species